rnacentral:rRNA from 1 species
CCAGCCCGCUCAGAAACUCAAAUGAAUUGACGGGGCCCGCACAAGCGGAGGAGCAUGUGGUUUAAUUCGAUGAUACGCGAGGAACCUUACCUGGGCUCGAACGUAAGAUGACUGUAGGUGAAAGCUUACAUCUCUUCGGAGCAUUUUACGAGGUGCUGCAUGGUUGUCGUCAGCUCGUGCCGUGAGGUGUCGGGUUAAGUCCCAUAACGAGCGCAACCCUACCUUUAGUUGCCAUCAGGUAAUGCUGGGGACUCUAAAGGAACUGCCUACGCAAGUAGUGAGGAAGGCGGGGAUGACGUCAAAUCAGCACGGCCCUUACGUCCAGGGCUACACACGUGCUACAAUGGCCGAUACAGAGGGCAGCUACCUGGUGACAGGAUGCAAAUCUCCAAAGUCGGUCUCAGUUCGGAUCGGAGUCUGCAACCCGACUCCGUGAAGUUGGAUUCGCUAGUAAUCGCGCAUCAGCCAUGGCGCGGUGAAUACGUUCCCGGGCCUU